rnacentral:rRNA from 1 species
CAAUAGCGUAUAUUAAAGUUGUUGCAGUUAAAAAGCUCGUAGUUGGAUUUCUGGUCGGAAGCUCCUGUCCUCUGAUGAGCGUACAAGUGCGUCCUACCAUCCUUCUGUUAACCUUUAAGGCUUUCGCGGCUUUCUAGGGGCUCAGAUAUUUUACCUUGAGAAAAUUAGAGUGUUUCAGGCAGGCUAGCGCCGGAAUACAUUAGCAUGGAAUAAUGGAAUAGGACUUUUGCCUCUUCUGUUGGUCAUGAGGCUCGAGUAAUGAUUAAUAGGGAUAGUUGGGGGCAUUAGUACUUAACUGUCAGAGGUGAAAUUCUCGGAUUUGUUAAAGACUAACUUAUGCGAAAGCAUUUGCCAAGGAUGUUUUCGUUAA